GGUGGUGUGUGUAAAAACCAAAUAGAGGAGAGAUGGCGUGAGCUACAGAGAUGAAGCUCUUCUUUCUUACAUCAAAAUUCUUCCCAAUGCCUCCUCCUCCCUUCUUCCCCUUCAUCCAAUGCUCAGAUCUAAUAGAGAUCAGAUCUAAGAAGAGAGAAGAAGAGAAGAAGAAGGAUUCUUCUUUUUUUCAUGGUGAUCUGGUCUAGAUCCUAUCGGAUC
rnacentral:lncRNA from 1 species